rnacentral:rRNA from 1 species
ACGCACGCUGGCGGCAUGCCUAACACAUGCAAGUCGAACGAGACCUUCGGGUCUAGUGGCGCACGGGUGCGUAACGCGUGGGAACCUGCCCUUAGGUUCGGAAUAACUCCCCGAAAGGGGUGCUAAUACCGGAUAAUGUCUUCGGACCAAAGAUUUAUCGCCUUUGGAUGGGCCCGCGUUGGAUUAGCUAGUUGGUAGGGUAAAAGCCUACCAAGGCGACGAUCCAUAGCUGGUCUGAGAGGAUGAUCAGCCACACUGGGACUGAGACACGGCCCAGACUCCUACGGGAGGCAGCAGUGGGGAAUAUUGGACAAUGGGCGAAAGCCUGAUCCAGCAAUGCCGCGUGAGUGAUGAAGGCCUUAGGGUUGUAAAGCUCUUUUACCCGGGAUGAUAGUGACAGUACCGGGAGAAUAAGCUCCGGCUAACUCCGUG